GACGAACGCUGGCGGCGUGCUUGACACAUGCAAGUCGAACGGAAAGGCCUGCUUUCCCUUGUGGAUUGCGGGUACUCGAGUGGCGAACGGGUGAGUAACACGUGAGUGAUCUGCCCCCAACUUGGGUAUAAGCCUGGGAAACUGGGUCUAAUUCCCGAUAGGACUGCAGGGUGGUGCCUGUGGUGGAAAACGAUUUUCUAGUGGUUGGGGAUGAGCUCGCGGCCUAUCAGCUUGUUGGUGGGGUAAUGGCCUACCAAGGCGGCGACGGGUAGCCGGCCUGAGAGGGUGGACGGCCACAUUGGGACUGAGAUACGGCCCAGACUCCUACGGGAGGCAGCAGUGGGGAAUAUUACACAAUGGGCGGAAGCCUGAUGCAGCGGCGCCGCGUGGGGGAUGACGGCCUUCGGGUUGUAAACUCCUUUCGACCGCGAGGAAGCCACCUGGUUGGAAGGGUGGUGACGGUAGUGGUAGAAGAAGCAUCGGCUAACUACGUG
rnacentral:rRNA from 1 species